rnacentral:lncRNA from 1 species
CAGCAUCAUGAUUUGAAACUACUGCAUCUUACCCAAAGGUCUCAGAUUAUGAACUUGAUGCCAUAAUUGCAUGGGAUUUGAGGCUUUCUUCCUUAGGGAGUGGUAAUCAGAGAAGCACAUGUUGAUAUGGAACCUCUUUGAGCCUUGGUCCCUGAGUCACUAAGAUGAACAGACAUCCUCUUGCUGAGCUGGGUUCUGCAUGUAGAGUGGGCAAAAGUAAAUAUUUGUUAUGAUCAAGCCUCUAAGGGAAGGAUUCAUCCUGAGCUAACAUCAGUUGCCAAUUUUCCUCUUUUUUUUCCUCCCCAAAGCCUCCGUGCAUGCUUGUAUAUCCUAGUUAUAAGUUCUUCUGGUUCUUCUCUGUGAGCUGCCGCCACAGCAUGAAAACUGACAGACGAGUGGUG